rfam:Schistosoma mattheei strain Denwood, Zambia genome assembly, scaffold: SMTD_scaffold0000227
GCACUGCUGAGCAGUCCCACAACAGGACGAAACGGCCGUCCAGUGC